CACGUAGGGGGGCUAGCGUUGUCCGGAAUCAUUGGGCGUAAAGCGCGUGUAGGCGGUCCGGUAAGUCCGCUGUGAAAGUCGGGGGCUCAACCCUCGGAUGCCGGUGGAUACUGUCGGGCUUGAGUACGGAAGAGGCGAGUGGAAUUCCUGGUGUAGCGGUGAAAUGCGCAGAUAUCAGGAGGAACACCAAUUGCGAAGGCAGCUCGCUGGGACGUUACUGACGCUGAGACGCGAAAGCGUGGGGAGCAAACAGG
rnacentral:rRNA from 1 species